AACACUAACACUCACAAUAAAACACUGUAUCUUAGGUUAGUUUUGUUUAGAUAGGUCAAACAUUUUUAUUGCAUUAAUGUUAAUUAAUUAAAUGCUUUAAAAUGUAUCUUGAUCAUUUUUGAGGUAAAUUCCAGGAUGCAUCUGAAUGUGUUUUGGAAAGUGUUUUGCAUAUUAACUGAAGACUGCGCUUAAAACUCCACUGAUGAUUAUUAGUGUGUGACACUGACACACACACAGAAGAAACAAUGAUUUCUCUUAUUCUAAUGCUGGGGACACUCUGUCUGCUUGCUCAAGUGUCUCAUGAAGAGGUUCAGUCUCCUGAGUCUCUGUCUGUUAAAGCAGGAGAAUCUGUCUCUAUCAGCUGCACUGGGACCAGCGGAGUUGGUAAUGACAUGAGCUGGUAUCUUCAGAAAACUGGAGAAGCUCCUAAACUCCUCAUCCAUGAUGCCAGUCAACUUGUAUCUGGAAUCUCAGAUCGGUUCAGUGGAACUUAUUCUGGAUAUGUAUUUACACUGAACAUACGUGGAGUCCAGUCUGAGGAUGAUGGAGAUUAUUACUGUAUGGGGGCUUACAGUGGCAGGCGCUCACAGUGAAACAGCAUCAUACAAAAACCUCCCUCAGUCUGACAGCUAAGAGAAUAUGAGGAUACUGAGAAGUUCACAA